AGUUGGUCUGAGAGGACGAUCAGCAACACUGGAACUGAGACACGGUCCAGACACCUACGGGUGGCAGCAGUCGAGAAUCAUUCACAAUGGACGAAAGUCUGAUGGUGCAACGCCGCGUGGAGGAUGAAGGCCCUAGGGUCGUAAACUCCUGUCAUAUGAGAGUAAGGCAUAAGUGACUAAUACGCAUUUAUGUUUGAUAGUAUCAUAAGAGGAAGGGACGGCUAACUUCGUGCCAGCAGCCGCGGUAAUACGAAGGUCCCGAGCGUUAUUCGGAAUCACUGGGCGUAAAGGGAGCGUAGGCUGCGCGGUAAGUCAGAUGUGAAAUCUCAGGGCUCAACCUUGAAACUGCAUCCGAUACUGCCGCGCUAGAGUAAUGGAGAGGUAAGUGGAAUUCUCGGUGUAGCAGUGAAAUGCGUAGAUAUCGAGAGGAAGACCAAUGGCGAAGGCAGCUUACUGGACAUUUACUGACGCUGAGGCUCGAAGGCUAGGGUAGCGAAAGGGAUUAGAUACCCCUGUAGUCCUAGCAGUAAACGAUGUGCGCUUGGUGUGGGAGGGUUCGACCCCUUCUGUGCCGGAGCUAACGCGUUAAGCGCACCGCCUGGGGAGUACGGUCGCAAGACUAAAACUCAAAGAAAUUGACGGGGACCCGCACAAGCGGUGGAGUAUGUGGCUUAAUUCGAUGCAACGCGAAGAACCUUACCCAGACUUGACAUGUAUUGCUAAUUUGCUGAAAGGCAAUGACCCUUCGGGGACCUUACACAGGUGCUGCAUGGCCGUCGUCAGCUCGUGUCGUGAGAUGUUCGGUUAAGUCCGGCAACGAGCGCAACCCCUGUGACUAGUUACUAACAUUAAGUUGAGGACUUUAGUCAGACUGCCCAGAUCAACUGGGAGGAAGGUGGGGAUGACGUCAGGUCAGUAUGGCCCUUACGUCUGGGGCUGCACACGUACUACAAUGCCCAGUACAAUGAGAACCGAGACCGCGAGGUGGAGGAAAUCUACAAAACUGGGCUCAGUUCGGAUUGGAGGCUGCAACUC
rnacentral:rRNA from 1 species